GCAAAGAGUCGGACACGACUGAGCGACUGAACUGAACUGAACUGAAUCCAUAUUCAAAGAUAACAGGUGCUUAGGGUGUGGGCAUUCUCUGAUACUUAUUGUGAUUCAUAGAAGACAUAUGUGAUCCUGAGUUCACUCAAUUUGUAGUUUGUCUUCUGACUUCUUUGAUAAAACAUUUUGUUUAACAGAUUCUUAGUUCAAGUAAAAGAAAAGCAUUUUAUACACAUAGAACCUUUUUUUCUAUAAAGAAAUGUGUCACCUUCUACGAUAGAUAAGAAUCUGACCUUCCGCUGCCAAAUCUCUCUGGUAUUGACCACCUGACCUUGCCAGGUGACUCUGUGUCACCUGGAUGUCACUUCUUUGUGCUAGGUAUCCACCUCAGACUGCCAAACAUGAUAUUAAUGGCUGAGAAGCGGCCAUUGGACUGGCCCUCCAGGCUCUGGCAUCUGAAGUGCUGGAAGUCUCAGGAUGUCAAUGGCUUCACAUGUCAGGAAAACCUUAACGACAGACGAAUGGUCAAGACCCUGAGCCUCAUUUCUGAGUUCUCAGCUGUGGAAAUCAUGUGUUUAUUUUCUGCAUCUCCUCCUACAACAGUCACUCUGAAGCCAGUUUUAAGAUCCUACAUCUGGGCAAGCAAGCUUCUCUAAAAGUUGGUGAGCACAAUUAUUUUUGUGUAGGGGUGUGGCUAUAAAUGUCUUUGUAGUUGAUGGACUAUGAUCAAGUAAACAUUGAUACUUGUUAUUUCAAACUCCUUAAGAAGCUAAAUACUAACUGGUGUAAUAAUUUAGUUUAUGAUAUUGUUUCAACAGAGUUAUAAGCUUUUAACUAAAUGGAUAGACUUUUAAGACAAAAUUUUCAUUUCCACUAGUCUCUCAACUGAUCCUAUGAAAUUUCCAUUUAUACAUUCUCAUAUCUUUUAUUUUCAAAGUAUCAGAAAACUUUAAGUAUUUUUAAAAGUACAAUUUUGGUGGAACUUUUUCUUCCUUAAGAUUCUUAAGUUGAUCUGUCAUGUCCUGUUCUAAACUGAUUUCUUAUUUUAUUUAAACUUUUGUGUGCCUUGUUUUAAAAAUGUUACUCUUUUGAAAAGGAUGCUCUCAAAUUCAAUUUUCUGCUUACAAGUUGAAAAAACAUGUUUUAAUGAGAUUAGAAUUUGAAUGACCUUUGUUCAUGGGACCUAAAAAUGUUUUUUGGUGUUUUGUCAAGACUGACAAGUAUAUUUAAGAAAUAAUCUAAAAGACUCAAUCCUCUUAACAAAGUCUUAGAAGAAAAAAAUAUUUCCAUAAAUAAAAUUACUGAUCACUAGUGAUCA
rnacentral:lncRNA from 1 species